CAGGCCUAACACAUGCAAGUCGAACGAGUGCCUUCGGGUGCUAGUGGCGCACGGGUGCGUAACGCGUGGGAAUCUGCCCUGCGGCUCUGGGAUAACGUUGGGAAACUGACGCUAAUACCGGAUGAUGAUGAAAGUCCGAAUAUUGAUCGCCCUGGGAUGAGCCCGCGUACGAUUACGUACUUGGUGUGGUAUAUGCGCACCAAGCCGACGAUCCUUAGCUGGUCUGACAGGAUGAUCAGCCACACUGGGCACUGAGACACGGACCACACUCCUACGGGAGGCAGCAGUGGGGAAUAUUGGACAAUGGGCGCAAGCCUGAUCCAGCAAUGCCGCGUGAGUGAUGAAGGCCUUAGGGUUGUAAAGCUCUUUUACCCGUGAUGAUAAUGACAGUACCGGGAGAAUAAGCUCCGGUCUAACUCCGUGCCAGCAGCCGCGGUAAU
rnacentral:rRNA from 1 species